AACGAACGCUGGCGGCAGGCCUAACACAUGCAAGUCGAACGGGACCUUCGGGUCUAGUGGCGGACGGGUGAGUAACGCGUGGGAACGUGCCCUUUGGUUCGGAAUAGCCCCGGGAAACUGGGAGUAAUACCGGAUAAGCCCUACGGGGGAAAGAUUCAUCGCCAAAGGAUCGGCCCGCGUUGGAUUAGGUAGUUGGUGAGGUAAUGGCUCACCAAGCCGACGAUCCAUAGCUGGUUUGAGGGGAUGAUCAGCCACACUGGGACUGAGGCACGGCCCAGACUCCUACGGGAGGCAGCAGUGGGGAAUCUUAGACAAUGGGGGAAACCCUGAUCUAGCCAUGCCGCGUGAUCGAUGAAGGCCUUAGGGUUGUAAAGAUCUUUCAGUGGGGAAGAUAAUGACUGUACCCACAGAAGAAGCCCCGGCUAACUCCGUGCCAGCCGCCGCAGUAAUAC
rnacentral:rRNA from 1 species